GAUGAACGCUGGCGGCGUGCCUAAUGCAUGCAAGUCGAGCGAACAGACGAGGAGCUUGCUCCUCUGACGUUAGCGGCGGACGGGUGAGUAACACGUGGAUAACCUACCUAUAAGACUGGGAUAACUUCGGGAAACCGGAGCUAAUACCGGAUAAUAUAUUGAACCGCAUGGUUCAAUAGUGAAAGACGGUUUUGCUGUCACUUAUAGAUGGAUCCGCGCCGCAUUAGCUAGUUGGUAAGGUAACGGCUUACCAAGGCGACGAUGCGUAGCCGACCUGAGAGGGUGAUCGGCCACACUGGAACUGAGACACGGUCCAGACUCCUACGGGAGGCAGCAGUAGGGAAUCUUCCGCAAUGGGCGAAAGCCUGACGGAGCAACGCCGCGGGAGUGAUGAAGGUCUUCGGAUCGUAAAACUCUGUUAUUAGGGAAGAACAAAUGUGUAAGUAACUAUGCACGUCUUGACGGUACCUAAUCAGAAAGCCACGGCUAACUACGU
rnacentral:rRNA from 1 species